rnacentral:tRNA from 1 species
GGAGCAGUGGCAUAGCGGGUAAAGCUGCCGCCUGCAGAGCUGGCAGCCCAUAUGGGUGCUGGUUUGAGUCCUGGCUGCUCCA